AGUGAACGCUGGCGGUAGGCCUAACACAUGCAAGUCGAACGGCAGCACAGUAAGAGCUUGCUCUUACGGGUGGCGAGUGGCGGACGGGUGAGGAAUACAUCGGAAUCUACUUUUUCGUGGGGGAUAACGUAGGGAAACUUACGCUAAUACCGCAUACGACCUACGGGUGAAAGCAGGGGAUCUUCGGACCUUGCGCGAUUGAAUGAGCCGAUGUCGGAUUAGCUAGUUGGCGGGGUAAAGGCCCACCAAGGCGACGAUCCGUAGCUGGUCUGAGAGGAUGACGACCCACAGGGGAAAGGAGACACGGUCAAACCCCCUAGGGGAGGCAGCAGGGGGGAAUUUUGGAAAAGGGGGGAAAGCCUGAUCCAGCCAUACCGGGGGGGUGAAGAAGGCCUUCGGGUGGUAAAGCCUUUUUUUUGGGAAAAAAAAGCAGCAGGUUAAUACCCCGCUGUUCUGACGGGACCAAAAGAAAAAGCACCGGCUACCUUCGU
rnacentral:rRNA from 1 species